GUGCUAUUGAAUAUUUUGUAGGAUAUGUCGCUAGGAAAAAUAUUAGAAAAACCAAUUGCGACAUAUGCAAGGCAGAAUUAUUAGAUAGUACAACAGUUCUUUCACGAAAUGAACAGAUUUUAAUAUUUCUUCGUGCCUAUAAGACAAAUAUUGAUUCAGAUUUUGGAAGUCUUAUAACCCCUAGUAAGAAAUUUUCUUUUGCAUUUCGUAUAUUUAAUGCUAUUUUUGAUAAAAUGUAUCCUACCUUACGGGCUGAAGAGGGCAUUCUUGAUAAAAUAUUUCUUUAUUUUGUACAAGGUGUUAACAAUUCACCUCAGCUUUGUGGUCGGUUUGACAGUAGUACGUGCAACGAACAUCGAAAAAAAAUAACAUAUUUUAUGAUGAAAGUAAAAAUUCAUAAGGAUACGAUAUGGCUCGGUCAAGAAUUACGAUGCCCUAAAAGUUCUUUUCACAAGCCAACUGCAAAGGUACGAAAAUUGCAAAAUCUGUGAAAGACUGUUUUCAUUUUCAGAAUGUCUGCCUUUUUACUUGUCUAUCACAACAAAUACAUUCAGAGGCGAUCUAACGUGGGCUGACAAUUUAUAACUCUUCGUAGAAUGUGAUUUUGUAUUUAGUUUUAGUAUAGUUGGUAGUAUGGAUAAGUGUGUGACAAACUAGUAUAGAGUAGUUUAGUCUUUAUAUAAUAAAUAAGUAUAUAUAUCAAGUUAAUUUAGUUGUAAUUCACUUAAUUCUAACAAUAACAAAUACAGUCAGAGACGAUUUAACUUGUGCUGACAAUUUAUAACUAAUACAGUCAGAGGCGAUCUAACGUGUGCUGACAAUUUAUAAAGUGGUACAAUAGGGCUCCAGGCGAAGAUCCACUAUAAAAAAAUCUAACGCGCCAUUAGUGGAACCUCAAAGGUGGUGUGGAAGUCCAUUAUUAUGAAUGUCACUUCAUAUAAAAUAAGGGAAGCAGCGAGGCGCCAAAUGAAUAGGAGGAUCCGCAAAACGAAACGAAAAUUGGAAGGGAAAUCAGAAUACCGAAGGGGGUAUACAUGUGCACCUCCGCUUGCCCCCGUCUACGCACCUCCGCCGUACUCCCUAUAUGCACCGCUGCCUCCCACCACAUACACACCACCGAUGCACCCCAUGUAUAUACGUACACAAACGAGAUUCGCAUAUACUACAUCCCCCACCUCCACAGUGUAUUAUAAUAAUUCUUAUUAAAAAAAAAU